UCUCACACACUCUCUCUCUCUCUCGUUUGAAGCUUGAUGUGAGAAAAUGGAUCAUGAAAAUCGAUUUAUCAUUACUCGUUAACGAUAGAUCUAACAUAUGAGAUGUCACGCUUCAAUCAGAUGUGGUGCAUUUCUCACUCUCUCCGCCUCAUAUGUAUGUGUAUCUAUAGGUCUACGAAGAAAACAGUGAUUAGUUCUCGUUUUUGUUCAAAUUAUCAAUUUUAUUUGAAAGGCAGGGUUGGUCUUCUGUUUUGGUUGUUUUGUUUCUAGAUCUGAGCACGACUUCAUUACUUUUCUGAGAUGGCUUCGAUGAUGAUCUCUCUUGCCUCUGCAUCUGCCUCAGCUUCAGCAAGAUAAUCGCAAGGUACCAUUAACCUCUGCUCCACAAGUGCUUGCACGGCUGGUACAAUCAAACCUCUGCUCCUUCACAUCUCACAUAUACAUACAUUCAUAUAUCUAUAUGACUUUUUGUGCUUGCUUUUUAACCAUUAUUAUUGAUAUUCAAUUUAAUCAUUGGAAUAAUCUACACGUUGUGUUUUGCUUGAAUGUUUAGUAUUUGCUUAUAAUUUCUAGCUUUAUAUGGCACCCAAAAAAAAUAUUAGUUUGUCUGAUUUAAUGUCUAGCAGUAGUGGUUCCUUGUGCGAUAUAUUACUCAGUUUCUUCUUUGUUCAAUAUUUUAUUGACUUCAAGUUUGAAUUCUUCUCAUGUCAUUGCCAUAAAGGUCUUU